CUACGUCCCUGCCCUUUGUACACACCGCCCGUCGCUCCUACCGAUUGAAUGGUCCGGUGAAGUGUUAGGAUCGUGGUGACGUGGGCGGUUCGCUGCCCGCGACGUCGCGAGAAUUCCACUGAACCUUAUCAUUUAGAGGAAGGAGAAGUCGUAACAAGGUUUCCGUAGGUGAACCUGCGGAAGGAUCAUUG
rnacentral:rRNA from 1 species